UACAGAGGGUGCGAGCGUUAAUCGGAUUUACUGGGCGUAAAGCGCGUGUAGGCGGUUUGAUUAGUCUGAUGUGAAAGCCCUGGGCUCAACCCAGGAAGUGCAUUGGAAACUGUCAGACUUGAAUACGGGAGAGGGUAGUGGAAUUCCUAGUGUAGGAGUGAAAUCCGUAGAUACUAGGAGGAACACCGGUGGCGAAGGCGGCUACCUGGACCGAUAUUGACGCUGAGACGCGAAAGCGUGGGUAGCAAACAGG
rnacentral:misc_RNA from 1 species